UACGGAAGGCAGCAGUGGGGAAUAUUGCACAAUGGGCGCAAGCCUGAUGCAGCCAUGCCGCGUGUAUGAAGAAGGCCUUCGGGUUGUAAAGUACUUUCAGUCGUGAGGAAGGUGUUAAGGUUAAUAACCUUAGCAAUUGACGUUAGCGACAGAAGAAGCACCGGCUAACUCCGUGCCAGCAGCCGCGGUAAUACGGAGGGUGCGAGCGUUAAUCGGAAUUACUGGGCGUAAAGGGCACGCAGGCGGUUAAUUAAGUUGGAUGUGAAAUCCCCGGGCUUAACCUGGGAAUGGCAUUCAAGACUGGUUAGCUAGAGUCUUGUAGAGGGGGUAGAAUUCCAUGUGUAGCGGUGAAAUGCGUAGAGAUGUGGAGGAAUACCGGUGGCGAAGGCGGCCCCUGGACAAAGACUGACGCUCAUGUGCGAAAGCGUGGGGAGCAAACAGGGAUUAGAUAAC
rnacentral:rRNA from 1 species